AUUGAACGCUGGCGGCAUGCCUUACACAUGCAAGUCGAACGGCAGCAUGGAGAGCUUGCUCUCUGAUGGCGAGUGGCGAACGGGUGAGUAAUGCAUCGGAACGUACCGUGUAAUGGGGGAUAACGUAGCGAAAGUUACGCUAAUACCGCAUACGACCUGAGGGUGAAAGCAGGGGAUCGCAAGACCUUGCGUUAUACGAGCGGCCGAUGUCAGAUUAGCUAGUUGGUGAGGUAAAGGCUCACCAAGGCGACGAUCUGUAGCGGGUCUGAGAGGACGAUCAGCCACACUGGGACUGAGACACGGCCCAGACUCCUACGGGAGGCAGCAGUGGGGAAUUUUGGACAAUGGGGGCAACCCUGAUCCAGCAAUGCCGCGUGAGUGAAGAAGGCCUUCGGGUUGUAAAGCUCUUUUGUCAGGGAAGAAACAGCAGCUCUAGCACAGUUUGCGAAUGACGGUACCUGAAGAAUAAGCACCGGCUAACUACGUGCCAGCCGCCGCCGUAA
rnacentral:rRNA from 1 species